rnacentral:rRNA from 1 species
GGCAAACGGGUGAGUAUAAUGUGGGAAUCUGCCUUUUGGUCUGGAAUAACACGGGGAAACUUGUGCUAAUACCGGAUAAGCCUUUACGGGGAAAGUUUUAAUGCCGAAAGAUGAGCCUGCACUUGAUUAGCUAGUUGGUAAGGUAAAAGCUUACCAAGGCGACGAUCAAUAGCUGUUCUUAGAGGAAGACCAGCCACAUUGGGACUGAGACACGGCCCAGACUCCUACGGGAGGCAGCAGUGGGGAAUCUUGCACAAUGGGGGAAACCCUGAUGCAGCGAUGCCGCGUGAGUGAAGAAGGCCCUUGGGUUGUAAAACUCUUUCGUCGGGGAAGAAAAUGACUGUACCCGAAUAAGAAGGUCCGGCUAACUUCGUGCCAGCAGCCGCGGUAAUACGAAGGGACCUAGCGUAGUUCGGAAUUACUGGGCUUAAAGAGCUCGUAGGUGGUUAAAAAAGUUGAUGGUGAAAUCCCAAGGCUCAACCUUGGAACUGCCAUCAAAACUUUUUAGCUAGAGUGUGAUAGAGGUAAGUGGAAUUUCUAGUGUAGAGGUGAAAUUCGUAGAUAUUAGAAAGAACACCAAAUGCGAAGGCAACUUACUGGGUCACUACUGACACUGAGGAGCGAAAGCAUGGGUAGCGAAGAGGAUUAGAUACCCUCGUAGUCCAUGCCGUAAACGAUGUGUGCUAGACGUUGGAAAUAUAUUUUUCAGUGUCGCAGCGAAAGCAUUAAGCACAC